CAGGUGUUUUGCCCCUGCAGCUGUGAAGAGGAUGCUGUGAAGGUGGCAACGUGAACGUGUCACACAGACAUUGGCUAAACUACUCGGCUUCUACACUUGCCCUCAGAGUUCACAUAUGGUGAAGUGCACAGGUGUCCAGCCAGGUCCAGACUGAUGAUGGUAACAAGAGGAAAACAUGCUGAUUGGCAAGUGAGAACCCUGCUCAACAAAAAUCCACACAGCAUAACAAGAAUGAUUCAACGAUGGACAUUGUGCUUAAUUGUGGAAAAAAAUAAAUGUCAAAACGUC